CCUACGGGAGGCAGCAGUGGGGAAUAUUGCACAAUGGGGGAAACCCUGAUGCAGCGACGCCGCGUGAGUGAAGAAGGAUUUCGGUAUGGAAAGCUCUAUCAGCAGGGAAGAAAAUGACGGGACCUGAGGAAGAAGCAGCGGCUAACUACGUGCCAGCAGCCGCGGUAAUACGGAGGGGGCAAGAGUUAUCCGGAUGUACUGGGGGUAAAGGGAGCGUAGAAGGCAGCACAAGUCUGGAGUGACAUGCCGGGGCGUAACCCCGGAACUGCUUUGGAAACUGUGCAGCUAGAGUGCAGGAGAGGUAAGUGGCAUUCCUCGUGUAGCGGUGAAAUGCGUCGAUAUUAGGCGGAACCCCAGUGGCGAAGGCGGCUUCCUGGCCUGUCCCUGCCGUU
rnacentral:rRNA from 1 species